AUUCCACAUCCAGUCUGGCUUCAUUACACUGUAGGGUUCCUAUGAGUAUCAGUUACAUUACUCUCAACUUUUUCUUUCCUUGUUCUUUUCCUUCUAACAUUGUGUGUUCCAAAUUUAGAAGUCUUUAUGGUGUCAUGACUAAAAAGAUGUUAAUACAAUUAUAGAUAUGUUUAUGUAGAAUAAUUGCAACAAUGAUUAUGAAACAGUUGUUUUGUUAAAAAUAAUAGACUUUAGUAUUCUAUUUUAUAUUAAUUGAAAAGAAAAACUAACAGUAUUACUGUUUUUCUUAUGGUUAGAAUAUUUGUAGUAGCUCUGUAGCUGAUUGUCUUAAAUGUACAUCUAUGGAUAAAGGAAUUUUGCAUAUUUAAUGUGAGAGAUGUAGUAGGAUACUCAUUGUAGAAAUAGUACUCUUUGGAUUAGCCGCUAUAAUGUUACUGUAAUGAGUCAGUCAUACAGAAAACUGGCCUCACAACUAUGAAACCUCUUCCUGCAUUGAAUUGUUGAAAGUAAAUUUUGAAUACUCAACAACCAUGAUGAAAGGUUAUGGAUAACUCAAAGCUUGACUUUCCAGUUUGAAUCAAGUAUUUUAAGUAUUCAGUACUUACUGUGUUGAAGCACUGUACUUAAAAGAAUUAAACUAAACUUUGGUUAGUUUUAAUCUGUCAUACAAAAGCAAGGCUUUUUGAUCAAGAAUAGUUUAAAUUUGAGGAUAAACGAGUAGAAAAUCCAACCAAGUUGGCAGUCUUUAGAAUAAUAUUUAAAGUGGUUUUACUAAGUGGUUAUACUUACCAGUAUGGCAGGGCUCUGAUAUACAAAGAGGGACAGCAUUUCGAUUUUUCUGGACAGGUUACUGAAUCUGGGACUCGGUAUGGAAAUCCGUGUGUGUUACUUACUAUAUGAACCUUGUGGAAGAAUUGCUAUAAUGAAUAAUAGGAUAAUAUCUGAUGUGGUUGUAUCUGUGUACAUAUUACUCAGUUUUUGUUCAGUCUGGUGUGUUUUGCCCAGUUACAGCUUAUCAAAAAGUGUUUAUUUUGGCUUCAAAGGAUGUGUUACAAGUUAAAAUUUCCCUUUAAGACAAAAGUCAAUUUUAGGAACAAAAAGGAAUGUUAAUAUUUACUUUUUACUAACAUGCUUAUUUGUAAUACCAGGUAGGUAUGUGCAUGCAAAGUAUAAAAGUUCCUGUCAUUGUCUUUUCCUAGGAAAAGGCUUAUAGCAGGUGUUUUUUUUUUUUUUUGGAAACAGUUUUGUACUUGUCGCCCAGACUGGAGUGCAAUGGCACUAUCUUGGCUCACUGCAACCUCUGCCUCCCAGGUUCCAAUUCAAACAAUUCUCCUGCCUCAGCCUCCUGAGUAGCUGGGAUUACAGACACACGCAACCACGCCCAACUAAUUUUUUGUAUAUUUGGUAGAGAUGGGUUUCACCAUGUCAGCCAGAUGUCCUGACCUCAGGUGAUCCACCCACCUUGGCCUCCCAAAGUGCUGGGAUUACAGGCGUGAGCCAUCACAUCUGGUCCAACUUGUAGCAGUUUUAACUAUGCUUCCCUUUGGUUUCCUUAUCAAGAAAUUUUUUUGCGUAGAACCAGUAAGUGAGAAUGACAAGAUAAUCUCUUAAUAUUAAUAGCUUCUUUUUGUUCGGAUUAUUAAGGAGGUUGAUUCUGGUUCCUACUCAUGUUAUCCUCCAGAAUAGCACUGACUUCUCUAAAAGGUUAAAUGGCAUUUCCCCUUUGAAAGUUUGGAUGAAUGAGAGUUUAAUUCCUUUACUACACAGAUGGCUUCGAAGAGAAUUCUAAGCAAGCAUUUGCUGCCAGCCUUAGUCUUUUGUUAAGAAUAUUAGUGAUCUUUGCAUACUCAUAAUGUGUAGUAGAUGCUCAAAUAUUUGUUAAGCAUAAAGGCUUCUUUUGAGAAAAAGGAUAGAAUUAGGUCAGCAGCACUACAAAAUUUCCCUGGCUUUUUCUAUUUCUGCUUGGGAAAAUUUGAUAUUUACAGAUAGUAGGCUUCUUUUUCCUACCAUCUUUUUCAAAGAGGUCACGUUGACUCUGGCACCAUCUUGCAUAAAACGCCCUUUCCCCUUUCUAGUGAAGUGGAAGAAUAAAAUGUAGCAGAACUGAUGUUUCUACCAGAGAAGGUUUUGUCGUACUUAAUGAUUAGUAAAGUGUUUUAAUUAUAUUUUUAAGAUCUUACAUGAUAAAAAAAUUAAUAUUUUUUUAUUACUCCAGACUUUUCUGAGCUUUGAUAUAUAUUUUUUUUUAAUUUGAGAAAAGCAGGUUAUUCCUUUGCAGAAUUAACAGUAUUGGCUGGUGGCAUUAGUGAUAACCAGCUUUUUUAUAUUGAGCACUUGUUUUAUAAUAGCUAUGAAAAUACACUCUUCCUACAAAAAGCAACUAAUCUCCAAAGUUCUGAAUUUUUCUGAAGAGCUCUUUGGUAACCCAUUCUGGUUACCUGUAUUUAUUAAUUGUUUAAUCAUUUAAUAAGCAAAGAGUUGGGACCAUGUUGCUUUUUACAACAGUUAGUAGAGUAUUACCAUGGGAAGUGGUCACUGGCAUGUUCUUCACAAUGUGGACUUUUCAUUAUGUAAAAGAAGUUGGGGUUCUUCUCUUCAUGUGUUAAUUUGAAACUGCAAUAUGUGAACAAUCUGCCUUUCCUGCCAGAUGCUUAGACAAAAGCUCUCUUGGUAAUUGGGGAGGGACUUAGCACUGGUACCUCUUUAAACCUGAAAGAUGGCAGCCAAAAAUUGAGUAGUUUUUAACUUAGACAUGAUGAAGUGAACACCAAGGAAAUACAGUCUUGGAGGCCUAUUUCAAACUCAAAAGAAGUAUGUCGAGAUGAAUAAUAGAGCUCAAGAUUUUGAGUCAAACUAGUUUUACCAUUUAAUAGAUGCAUGGCCUGAGGAAAUCACUUAGUCCCUCUGAGAAAACUGAGCUCAAUUAAGUAGGAAUAAUACUCAUCCCACAGGAUUGUAAGGAAUGAGAGUCAGGUAAAGCACCUUGACUACCUUCUGUGUCCUGUUUAUCUCAGCUUUUCUGUUCUGUUUAAAAGUGUGAACCUGCUUGUAAUAGUGCAGGGGUCUCUUAACUCACAGUCCAUGAAUGGGAUUUAGAAGAUUGGUUUCUUCUUACUGCCCUGGAACCCACAGGAGCAGGCAGCUGGGGGUGGGGGUGUCGGCCCUGGAAUAGGGGCUGUGGCAGAUUGGGGGGACCCGGCUGCGGCGAGUCCGGGCUGGGCGGAAAUGGAGCUGCAGGAAACUACUAAAGUUCCUGGGGAAGCAAAGUAGAAUUUCAUAAGAACAAAAUGGAUGGAGAGGAGAAAACCUAUCUAUGGUAGCUGUGAAGGCCCUGAUGCCGUAUGUUAAAUUGAUGUCAUCUGAUGGCAAUGAAUUUAUUGUAAAAAGAGAACAUGCAUUAACAUCAGGCAUGAUAAAAGCCAUGUUGAGUGGCCCAGAUCACUUUGCUGAGAAUGAAACCAGAGGUCAGUUUCAGAGAGAGAUACCUUCACAUGUGCUGUCAUUUUAUGUAUAAGGUUUACUACACUAAGAGCUCCACUGAGAUUCCCGAAUUCUCAAUUGCACCUGAAAUUGCACUAGAACUGCUGAUGGCUGCAAACUUCCUAGAUUGUUAUAUAAAAUAAAUUAUAAUAAACUGUUAAAGAAAAAAAGAUUAAGAAGUCUUUAAAAUUGUAUGUUUUUCUGGGUGGAAGGUGCAUGUCAACCAUCAGAUUUUCAAAGAUUUUAUUUUAAAAUUUAAAGUCUGCUAUAGGCAAAGAAUGACUUUAUUGGAGGUCUGGGAGAGGAAGCAGUGUAAAAUUGUGUGUCUAACAUAACAGUUGGCAACUGCAGUUGAGUAAUGUUAAUAGUGAUCCUGUUAAUUUGAGUUCUGUUUUAUUGCUGCUCUAUAUUUUUAUUUGCUCAGGGCAAUUUUAAGGUGUGGUUAUAGGGCACUGAUUUGUAAUCCAGCCCACAGAACUACCAUUAAAUAAGAAAGCAAGCAGCUUUUGGGUCUCUCUUAGUUUAAAUAUAUUAUUGCAUGCCUUGGGCUUUAAAAACUGCUAUGUAGAGUUAGUUUUUAAGAUGAAAAUCACUAGGCAGCUCAUUGGAAUAAGGGCUUCUCCAAAGAAUUCUAUAGUGUUACUAUUUUAUUAAGAUACAGGAGAAUUGCCUGAACCCAGGAGGCGGAGGUUGUGGUGAGCCGAGAUCGUGCCAUUGCACUCCAGCCUGGGUAACAAGAGCAAAACUCCGUCUCAAAAAAAAAAAGUUAUACUAUAUUUAAAUGUCUUCAUGGUUUUGGUAUGUUUCAAAGUAUAAAGAAUUCAAGUUCUGGUCUCAGGAAGGAAAAAAUUGGACAGUGUCUUUAGUAAUAAAGUUCAGUAUUUUUUUUUAAUGUGAAGUGCCCCACCCAAUGACAUAUUUUGUACAAAUAUAAAAAGUCUGAGGUAUAUGAAGUGGAAAUUACGAAAAUAAAGGCAGGGAAAUGGCAAGGUAGAGGCAUUUGCUGUUUGAUAGGAGGGGAAACUGUUAUAAAGGUCUGCCUUUAUAAUACUGAAUUAAAUGUCAUUGGAUUAUUUGGAUUAAUUUCACAAAUUUUUGAUUCCAAAGUAAGUUACUCAGGGCAUAUUUAUAUUGAAGUGUGUGUGUGAGAAAGAAUUUUUAAGCAAAAAUGACGGAUGUCCUGAUAUCAAGUAAGUUUUAAAAUUUAGCAUAUUGUUUAUUGAAAUUCUAAUAGUCCUCGUAGAACUUUUUUUGGUAGAAUUCCUCAGUUCCCUAUUGUGAUUUCAUCCUAGUUUCCAUUCCAUAGCCUUUGCUCUGUUCUUGACAGUUUUACAUUGAGAAUAAGCACUACUCAAGGUUUUAGGGGACUUAAAACUGCUGUCAGCUUCAAUAUACUCAAAUCCAGAGUUCCUCUUCCUUUUGAAACUGCCUGUCCUUUAUAACUAUCCAAUUUUAGCAUUUUUCUAGACUUAAUCACAUGACAUUUGUUGGGCUCAACUUUGACUUUAUUUUCAGAUUACAAGCUGUUGAUAUUUCCCAGAUCAUUGGUUCCCAAUCUUUUACAUGGAUGCUGAAUUGUAUAGUUCCCAGGAUUACACUCAGAAAAGUGCACAUUGCCAAAUAAGAAAAUGAUACUAUAAGGAUAACUGGAUGUACUUUUAAUGGACAGAAGCUAAAUUAUCAACAUCUUUUUACUGCUGCUCAUGGUCAUUCACCUGGACUAUGUUACAUAUAUUUCUUAGUCUAAACUUUCUAAAACGCUGAUUUUAUCCAUCUAUUUGCUUGAUCCUUGCCAAAAUUCCUUGCAAGAGGCUUUUAGCUUUAAUUUGGUCUUCUCACUGUCCUUGAUAAAUACCAUUGCUAAUUACCAUCUUUAUGGCCUGAGGGUUUCUACUUCAUUUCUCUGAGUUAGAACCUAUUUUAAUCUUGAUUAUCUGUCUUCCAACAUCAGAGGAUUGGCUCUAUUCUUUCAUUCUCCUUGAAAAUGUUUGUGUAUUUGUAAAGUACACUGAAGGAAUAUAUGCUUUGAUAUACUUAGAUGGCACAAAUUUAAAUUUUGGUGUGGGAAGAAUGGUGUGCUUGGCCAUCAUAUUAGCAGUUCUGUCUUUUUUAUUAUGUGUAUUUCUAUGUAACAGGUAAUUUCUUUGUUCUCUAGUCAGUAAUUCCUGUAAUUAUGAAAAGCUUGUAUCGGUAAAAGUUACUGUGCGUUAGCAGUUGUCAUUGAUUUAGUUUUGUGUUUUCUGGUAAGGUAUAAUGAGAUGGAAAUAGUAGGGUAGUGUAGGAUAGAGUUUUACAUAUUAGCAGAUUUCACUAAUUUUUUUUCUAUUGCCAUCCUUUUUAUUUUCCAAUAAUGUGGAUCUUUAGGCACCAAAGCAACGUGGAUGAAUAUAGCUGACUUCAUAUCAGUCAGAUAAUUUUGUGUAACACCUGCCCUUUUAUUUAUAUUGGAUAGGUUAUUUUAAAAGUUUCAUCAUGUAAGCUCUUGUGGAUUUCUAUUGACAGAAUUUGUUGUGAGCCUUCCUUUCUCCCAGAAAUAAAAAAUGUGCUUACAGUGGUAAUAGAUAAAAUAAUUUAAGGAUAGUUUCAGCCAAGUAUUAAUCCAUAAAGUUAAGUAGACCAAUAAAAAGAUUUGCUUAAGGGGUUGGCCUAUAUGCAUGUGUUGAACUUUAAAAUCUGAGAAAGAUUAUUGCAUUAAAUUUGCAGGGAGUCCCCAAUUUUUGUUGUAUUUGCAUUUUAUUUGGGUCAUCUAAUGAGUUGGGAAGUUAGAAACAUUUUUUGUUUUUUUGUCGUCAUUGUUUUUUUUGUUUUUUUUCUGAGACAGGAGUCUCUCCCUGUUGUCCAGUGGCAAGAUCUCACCUCACUGCAACCUCCAUGUCCCGGAUUUAAGUGAUUCUCCCUCCCCAACCUCCCAAGUAGCUGGGACUACAGGGGCCCCCACCAUGCCUGGCUAAUUUUUCUAUUUUUGGUGGAGAUGGGGUUUCGCCAUGUUGGCCAGGCUGUUCUUGAACUCCUGACCUUAGGUGAUCUGCCCAUCUUGGCCUCCCAAAGUGCUGGGUUUAUAGGCACGAGCCAUCUUGUUUAGCCCUGAAUUGUUUUUUUAGUGGCACUUAAUUUCUAACUUGCAAACAAUUUUUAGGAUCUAGAGUUUUUAAAAAUUAGUAUUAUUACCAAGAAACCCAGUGGUGACCAGAAUAUUUUUCAUCUAAGUGAUUAAUUACAAAUGCUUUUCUAAGAAAGACCUAUUGUUGAUCCAAGACUGAACAUUCAGCUCAUAAUUUUUUUGCUCCUUAAAAUGUAAUAAACAUUGUCCAGAGGUUAGAAUGACAUUCUUGGACCACAUUCAACCAAGAGAUGCUUGAUGAAAAUAUUACGCAAAAUACCUAUUUAAAAUGUGAUUCUGUGGAAUUGACAGUUGAGGGUACUAUUAUAGGUAAGCUGUAGUUCUGGGCUAGAACAAGCAAGUUCUCAGUUCAACAAUUUGAUGAGUCCUUUAGCACUAUUUGGAAGAUGUUUGGAAAUAAGACAUAGCAAGUAAUCUGCUUUUUGUAAGAGUAAUGACUUUCUUGCCAGUUUCCCUUUGAUUGUUGCCAUCUAAUGGAGGACUAUCGUCAGGCUCUUUUUCUUUAAUUGGAGCAGAGAUGAAACUUUAAGCAUAUUCCUGUGUAACAUUUCUAAAAGUAAAGAGUGCUAAAGUGUGUACUGCCUACUUUAAGAGAGGUGAUAUAACUUAGCACGGGCCAUGCAGACUUUGAAUUUUGGAUUCAUUGUGUGAUUUGGGGCAAGUUUUACUGAAUUUCUCUGUGACUGUUUCCACAUCUUUAAAAUGGGAGUAAUACUAUCUACCUCUAGGAUGUCUUGGGGAAAUUGUUUAAUUAAUACACCUCAUGGUGGUCUUAAAUAGCAAAUACACUGCUUACCUUUUGUACCUCUGUGGCAUCACUUCGUUAUGGUUUGAUUUAUAAAGUUUGGAUUAAAUUUAAGAGAACUUUAAAAAGCUGAAUUUUUUUUUUUUUUUUUUGAGACGGAGUUUCGCUCUUAUUACCCAGGCUGGAGUGCAAUGGCGCGAUCUCGGCUCACCGCAACCUCCGCCUCCUGGGUUCAGGCAAUUCUCCUGCCUCAGCCUCCUGAGUAGCUGGGAUUACUGGCAUGCGCCACCGUGCCCAGCUACUUUUUUGUAUUUUUAGUAGAGACGGGGUUUCACCAUGUUGACCAGGAUGGUCUCGAUCUCUUGACCUCGUGAUCCACCCGCCUCGGCCUCCCAAAGUGCUGGGAUUACAGGCGUGAGCCACCGCGCCUGGCCUGAAAUGUUUUAUAUUUAAUAUUUGGUCACUUGCUAUUUUAUAAGCCCUGUGCAUUACAAAAAUAAAUGUAAAAGCCCCUGCUAUUCAGUCUGGAGAGGGAAAUAGACAUGUGCACAUAUAAUAAAAAGGGAAGAGUACUGCAAAUUCACUGAACAUGGAAAAGCUGGUCUUUAGUGUUUUUUAAAAAGGGGUUGAUAAAAUAUAGUCCCCUUAUGGAGUUUAUCCACAAUACAUAGAGUACACAUACAUACAAGCCAAAAAGUGCUAUGAAAAAUGAGGCAUUUUAAACACCACCACCAACAAAAAGCAUUGUGAUGGAAAUACUGGUAAAUUGGGCCUUGGUUUAUGGGAAACUUUAGCCCAGGCCAGGAUCCUAGGGGAGGGGAGAAGAGGAAAGCCCUCAGUGAGAGUGUCAAUGAUUUUUAAGUUUUAACUUAAAACUGGUCAUUAGGGGGAUGGGGGGAGGUUGGGAAGGGAUAACAUGGGGAGAAAUGCCAGAUACCGGUGAUGGGUGGUAGUGGGGGGGAUAGAGGCAGCAAACCACCUUGUCAUGUAUGUACCUAUGCAACAAUCCUGCAUGAUCUGCACAUAGAGUUUUUAAAAAUUAUUGUACAAUAAUUAAAAAACUGCUCAUUAAGUUCUUUUUGAUACUUGUUAAUAUUUCACUUUUGAUCUUUAGGAGUAAUAUUUCAAAUUUGUUUUCAGAUGUUCUUAAAACUGAUUCCUUCUAGGAUUAUUUUGCUAGCAUUCAUGAUCUGGAGGGAGACACUUCUCUGAAUCUGAUUUAAUGUAGCAGUUUUUAUUCCUGCUUCUUGCUAGCCUUUUCACCCGAUUGAUUUUUCAAAAAAACAACAUUUUAGAACCGUCUGGGGAUUUCUAUAAGCAAUUGUUUAGUGCAGACAUCUUUUGGGGUAAAAAUCACGGAACAGCUACUCUUUUAACAGGAAUUAUAUUUAAUAAUAAAACUUUAGGCUGGCUUUAACAGUUCUUAAACAUCAGGGAUAAUAUACUUUUCCUUUGUCAGAUUUCUUUUCGAUUAAAAAAUUCAGAUUUGUCAUCUGUUAUUAAUGGAAAAAUGCAUUUAGUUAAGUGAUUGGGCACAAGCAACUCUGUUCGUUUUUAUAUAUGACUUUAUUCAAAAAACAUCUGUUCAUAGCUUAAAAUCUUACUCUCUUAGGCCACUUUGCAUAGAAAGAUAAGAAUUUAAAGUCAAAAUGUCUACAAAUACUUAAUAAAUUAGUUCUUGACACCACCUGAUUAUUAGCAUUUUUGGUGUAGCACUUUUCUAAUUGGUUGAUGGAAAGCAAGUGAGGAAGUUGCACAUCAGAGAAGAAUGGAAGCCACUCUGGCCACAAGGGGGAGUAAAAGACUAAUUUCCAAAUCUAUGGGCCCCUAAUGUGUGACAGAUUAAUGGCUUCUUGCAUGCUUUCUUUUUAAAAUUUUAAGAGACCUAGGAAUUAUAAAAGGCCCAGUGUUUGUACAGAGUAACAAUUAUAGGAAAGUUAUCUCCGCACAAGAGAAUUGUACAAGAUUAGAAAUUUGAACUACAUUAUGCUGGAGAUUUGGAAUUAAAUUUCCUAUUGAUGGUGUUAUUAAAAUGACAUUUGUGGGAUAUUUUUGUGAGCUUUUAAAUUGAAUAACACAAGCUGGGAGUUUUAUAUAAUUUAUAGAAUGUGUUUAAAUAUACAAAAAUUUCGUAGUCAUUGAAUUUCAGGGUUGAAGGGACAUCUAGUUUAGCCUUUUUAUUUUAACAGAUCAAGAGACUACACCUCAGAGGUUCAGCUGUUUACAUGAGGUCAGACAGUAAGCAUUAGUUAUCUGUAGUUCCUUAAUGUAGUAUCACCUUAUUGUAGAUUGAAACAUGACAUUUACUCUAUCAAGAUACUUGGUUUGUGGGGGUGGGGCAUGAGGAGUCGUCAGAAUAACAAAAUAAAUAAUGAAUCAUUAAAAACAGUGGUUUUUAUUUUAGACUAUGUUUUAGAGUCCUGUACUGAAUGAGAAUCACUUUUGAGGGCUCUUGUGCCUUAAUUACUUGCUACCUCAACCAUUUAACUUCUGGUGUUGUGUAUGCUUUGUAUGAAAGCAGGCAUAUCUGUGUCCCAAUCUCUGUUUGUUGUAGAGGAUGAGAACCAUGGCAGUACAAUCUAAAACAGAGCAAUGGGUUAUAGAGGCUUGAUCUUUCUCCCGCUCACGUUAUUUGGUGAGAUUAUGUCAAAGUUAGCCCAACUGUGUUCACAAAUUUCAAUUCAUAAAUGUCUCAUUAGAGGUUGAUUCUUUUGCUUUAAUAUUAUGGGGGUAUUUGCUGUUUGCUAAUGACACUUAAUGUCUAAUUAUCUUUGUGCAAAUUAAAUUUAAUAUUAUGACCAGUUGGUGAAAUACUCUCAAGACAAGAUGAAAACUUUCUCUCUACCACUCAUAUUUGUUUACAAAUGUAUCAUUGUUUUUGUACCAUUUCUCUCCUAAAUAAAAAAGUAAUACCAGCCAUGUAAGGAAAUUUGAAAAAAAAAAAAAGAGUGUAAAAAGGGUAUGAGAAAGGGUAUCUUUCAGAAAUAAAGCCAAUUAAAAAGGACUUCUUUAAAAUUUAUUAACUUUUCAUUUUGAAAUAAUUUCAGAUUUAGAAAGUUGGAGAAUAGUAUGAAGAGUUUUUAAUAUAUUUUGUUCAAAUAUUAAUGUUAUAACCACCACAGUAUAAUUAUUAAAAUCAAUAAAUUGAUAAAAAAAGUGAUAAGCUAUUAUAUAACCUAUAAACCUUAAUUAAAUUUAAUAAAUUGUUUUACUGUAAUAUCCUAUUUCUGCCCCAGAAUCCAUCCAGAAUCAUACUUUUCGUUUUGCUUACACGUCUCUUUACUCUACUUUAACGUGGAUCAGGUUUUUUUAGUCUUUGCCUUUAAUGAUUUUAGCACUUUUUCUUUUUUUUCAUGUGUUAAAAAAGUGACAUUCUUUUAUUACUAUCCGCAGAUGGGGCCUGCAUGAGGUGGUUGGUGUGCUGGGCUCGGGACAAUGAGUGGGCUGUGGAGAUGUUGACAGAAAGGCUGGAAGGAAAUGGGGUGGAUUUGAAGGCCAGGCCUGAAGGGGUCCUCAGGUCCGCUUCUGGGAAGGGACAGCCUUGAGGAAAGAGUCGUUGCAAGCCAUAGCUAGGUCGCCAAUCGCAUUAAGAAAUUCUGAGAAAUCCAGCUGCCUGUCACUGUUAGCGUCCAGUUUCUUCAUCAUGCAGUCAAGGACAACGGGGUCCUUCUGGUUCUUUGUGAAGGCAGCCAGUUGUGUAUUAAUGAAGCUUAGGAUCUCCGUCUUGGAGAGAGUGUAGUUGUAACCAUCCUUUCCAGCAUACUUCUGGAAAGCAGCAAUCAGGGACUGAUGCACCCUCAGUCUCUGUAGGGCUGGAGAUUUUUGCCAUGUUGGAGGCGUGCGGGAGGCUGUGGCUGGGAGCGGUGCUGAAAACUCUGGGUGCGUGGCGUGCGGGUCUCGAUUUUGGCACUUUUUCAAGAGCACUGGCUGGUUAUUUUGUAGAAUGUCUCUUAGCUUUGAUUUGUCUGGUAUUUUUUUUUUUUUUAAGAUGGAGUCUCACUCUGUCCCCCAGGCUGGAGUGUAGUGGCAUGAUCCUGGCUCACUUUGCAACUUCUGACUCCCAGGUUCAAGCGAUUCUCCUUCCUCAGUCUCCUGAGUAGCUGGGUUACAGGAGCCUGCCAUCAUGCCUGGCUAAUUUUUGUAUUUUUAGUAGAGACAGGGUUUCACCAUGUUGGCCAGGCUGAUCUCAAACUCCUGACCUCAAGUGGUCUGCCUGCCUCGGCCUCCCAAGGCAAGAGCCACUGCGCCUGGCCUGUCUGGUGAUUCUUCAUGAUGACAUUUAGAUUGUGAGUUUUUGGUGAGAAUUUCUGGAAGUGAUAUGGUGUCCUCCUUAGUGUAUUAUAUUAGGAGGCACAUGGUAUUGUCCAGCUACUUAACCAAGUAUAUUUAGAUGGUGCAUUAUGUUGAAUUUAAACAAAACACACCCCAUGGUGCAAAGUACCCAUCGAUUUUUUUUUUUUAAAGAUAUAUGCCUCUAAUUAUGAUUACUUUGUCAGAGGUUACAAAUGAAAUUAUUUUGCCGAAGUGCUUUUUAAAUAAGCUAUGUCCAUUCAUACUGAAUAGGUUGCUUUUUCAAAGGAGGAAAAUGAUCCCAGCUCUGUAAUUUGUAAUUUUCCUUUCAAAUUUAUUUUUGUUAGUUGCCUUCUUAUUCUAGUUGGCAAGCCCAAAUCGCAGCACACAGCACAGUGGUUUGAGUGUAUAGUGGCAGGGUAGCCAUUCUUCAAGGCUGAGAUAAAUGUGCAAAUACUUCAUGAUUGAGUUCUUGCUCAUCAUUUUGGGGUUUGGUCUAAGGACCUUUUGUCUAUAAAUCCUCUGAUUCCCUUUUAAGAAAAAAACCGAUCUUGAAUUUAAAGAAAUAUAAAGGGAUAGUUAGUGGUGGGGGUGGGAAAUUGAUUACAUUAGAAGAGAUUUCCUGGCAUUGGAAGGGAGAUUUUUAAAUUAAUGCUAGAGUGAAACACAAGAAGAUCGGAGUGAAGAGGAAGCUGGUCAUAAUUUUGUAUUUGAAAUGUCUGUCGUGUCUCUUAGUUAGCAGAAUUAGUACCAUAAUCUAGAAUUCUUGACUUCUAAACAAAGUUUACUCUGCCUUACAACCUCACACUCUUCCAGCUCUCUCCCCAGGGUAUUUCUUAGGUUCCUCUGUGUUCAUUACAUAGAGGAGCUUAUCCAUAUUUGGAGGUACUUAGCCUGUCCCUUUGCUGCUGUUUCUAAAUAUAUAUGUUUAGUUCAGCACUCACUUGUUUUUUUUUUUUUUUUUUUUUUUUGAGACGGAGUUUCGCUCUUGUUACCCAGGCUGGAGUGCGAUGGCGCGAUCUUGGCUCACCGCAAGCUCCACCUCCUGGGUUCAGGCAAUUCUCCUGCCUCAGCCUCCCGAGUAGCUGGGAUUACAGGCACGCACCACCGUGCCCAGCUAAUUUUUUGUAUUUUUAGUAGAGACGGGGUUUCACCAUGUUGACCAGGAUGGUCUCGAUCUCCCGACUUUGUGAUCCACCCGCCUCAAGCACUCACUUGUUAUACUAAAUGAGCAAUUUCUUAAGUUUUUAGAAAGUAGAACAUUGUUUUGUCUCUUAGAGCAGAAUAUUCAUUAUUGAACAUAGUGUCAACCUCAAUAAUUUCUGUUAGGUUUUUUGGUAAGGUGAUAACACUUUUGAUGAUGAAGAUUUUCUGAAAAAUAGUUUUGCUUGUUUGUUUGUUUUCUGAGAUGGAGUCUCACACUGUCACCCAGGCUGUAGUGCAGUGGUGCGAUCUGGACUCACUGCAAUCUCUGCCUCCCGGGUUCAAGCAAUUCUGCCUCAGCCUCCCGAGUAGCUGGGACCACAGGUGUGCACCACCACACCCAGCUAAUUUUAUUUUUGUAUUUUUAGUAGGGACGGGGUUUCACCAUGUUGGCUAGGAUGGUCUCGAUCACCCCACCUUGGCCUUUCAAAGUGCUGGGAUUACAGGCGUGAGCCACUGCACCUGGCCCUGAAAAAUAGUUUUUAGGAUGUUGAGCUAGUAAAAUAUCCUCCAAGAUCAUUUUAAAAUUUGUUUUAUUUAAAUGAAGCUAUUAAAGUUACACACAUUAUUCAGUGGGGAAUUUAAUAUUUUUGAGUGCUUAAAAUGUGUAGAACAUGCCUUAAAUAGAGCCUAUAUAAGUAGGUUAAGAAUAUAUAUGUGUGUGAAAAGUUAAAGGUGCAAAGCUGUAAUUAUUUAUUGAUUUUGAGAUGGAGUCUCACUCGCUGGAGUGUAGUGGUGCAAUCUUGGUUCACUGCACCCUCUGCCUCCUCGGUUCAUUCAAGCAGUUUUUCUGCCUCAGCUUCUUGAAUAGCUGGACUUAGCUGUGUACUGCCAUGCUUGACUGAUUUUUGUAAUUUUUUUUUUUCCUAGUAGAGAUGGGGUGUCACCACGUUGGCCAGGCUAGUAAUCUUUAUUUUUAAUUGUACUUGCUCUGAAUAAGAAUGUAGGUGUUAACAGAGCAUAGAAUGUAGAGGGAAAAAAUAAAGCUGCUGGGACCUCAUCCUGCCUUCUCAGAGGUAAUCUCUGUUAAGUUUUUUGUGUAUCCUGGGAAUUUAUGCGCAAAGCAAACAAUUAUAUCCUUAAAGAAUAAGGAUCAUAUACUCAAUUUUGUAAAUUGAACUUACAUACAUACUUUGAUGUAUAUCUUACGCUUCAUGUUGGCAGAUACCACCUCACUCUUUUUUAUUUUCUUUCUUUUUAAGGUGGAGUCUUGCUCUGUCACCCAGGCUGGAGUUGCACAUGGUGCGAUUUCAGGCCACUGCAACCUCCACCUCCUGGGUUCAAGCGAUUCUCCUGCCUCCCAAGUAGUGGGGAUUAUAGGUGUCUGUUACCACACCCAGCUAAUUUUUGUAUUUUUAGUAGAGAUGGGGUUUCACCAUGUUGGUCAGGCUGGUCUUGAACUCCUGACCUCAAGUAAUCCACCUACCUUGGCCUCCCAAAAUGUUGGGAUCACAGACAUGAGCCACUGCAACCUGCCAGUAACUCCUCAUUCUUAAUGUCUGUAUAGUAUUCUAUUAUUUGGGUAUGUAACAACUUAGACUGUUUUUUUUCUUUUUCUUUUUUUAAGAUAGGGUCUCCCUCUGUCACCCAGGUUGGAGUACAGUGGUGCACUCACUGCAGCCUUGAUGUUCUGGGCUCAAAUAAUCCUCCCACCUGAGCCUUUGGAGUAGCUAGGAUUAUAAGUGUAAAAUCUACCCUACUACCGCACUAGGCAAAAUUUUUAAAUUAUUUUUAGUACAGACAUGAGGUCUUGCUAUAUUGCUUAGGCUGGUCACUAACUCCUGGCCUCCAGCAGUCCUCCCAGCUCAGCUUUCCAAAGUGAUUGUGAUUAAAGGUAUAAGCUACCACACCUGGCCAUUAGUCCCUUAUUAACAGAACUUAGGAUAUUUACCUUUUUUCGCUCCUUAAAUUAAAAAGCUCUAUGCUACACACUAGCUGUACAGACAAUGUAGAUGAAGCUAAAUAGCUUUAAAGAAUUCGCUUUAGGGAGAACAUAGCAUUAGAGCUAGAAAUGAAAAGGUAUUUAGCACAGAUUCUUUUUAUUUUUCCAGCUUUAUUGAGGCAUGGUUGGCAAAAAACAAAUGUAUGUAAGGUGUACAACAUAGCAGAGGUUACUUUAAAUUAACAGUUCUUAAAGUGAUAAGCCAACCAUUGGGAAUCCAUUCGGGAGAUGUAUGUUAGGUCACAACUAUUUUCUUUUGAGAUGGAGUCUUGCUUGUUGCCCAGGCUGGAGUGCAGUGGUGUGAUCUUGGCUCACCGCAGCCUCCGUGCCUCCUAGGUUCGAGAGAUUCUCCUGCCUCAACCCUCCCUAGUAGCAGAAAUUACAGGUGCAUACCACCACACCCAGCAGCUAAUUUUUGUAUUUUUAGUAGAGAUGGGGUUUCACCAUCUUGGCCAGGCUGGUCUUAAGCUCCUGACCUCAUGUUCCACCCACCUCGGCCUCCCAAAGUUCUGGAAUUGCAGGCUUGAGCCACCGCGCCCAGCCAGGUCACAAGUAUUUUCAUGACAAAUACUAUUAUUAUUGAUUCUUACUACUGUGUUGACAUUUAGCACUGGUGCAAAAGCAAGAAUAGCUCAAACAACUACCACUAAUCAAGGCAGUGGUACUAUACUGUACUAGUGGUUAUUGUAUUUCUUCACCAUUAUGCACUCACUGUUUCUUUUAAAAAGAAAAAAGACUGGUUUUUCUUAAUGUCCUUGGAUCUGAAACAUUAUUUUAUUAAUAGCCCUUAAAUAGACAUCCUUCUAUGAGGCAAAAUGGGAAGUACAAUGGUUAUCUCUAAGAAAAGCACUUGCAGUUAUUUGCAUUGUGAAAUAAGCUAGUUGCUUUUCUUUUUUUCAUGAACACUUUUGUCUUCAAAGAACUGCAGGCUGAUAAGCUGUGACUACUCAGACUUAGGUGUUUGACAUACAUCUUAAAUAAAUCGAGCCUGUCGUUUUAAGGGAAAAUGAUAUUUUUGACAAAGAUAAAAUUGAAGCUUUGGAGCAAAAUUGAGAACUUUGGAAAAUAACUAUUCACCACCAUGAUACUAGUUUUCCACUUUUUUAUGACUGUAAAGGGAUCUUGAGACAAACUUUGAGGCCAUAAAUUGUUGCUACCAUUUAGGGUUUUGUUUUUGUUUUGUUUUGUUUUUUUCCUAGAAAAUAUACCUUUUUUAAGAGACAUAAUUUAAGGUAAUAUUAUUUAAAUAUAAGGAACUUAGAUCAUAUAAGAGGGAGUUCAGAACUAAGAUGGUUUCUGGCUGGGUUAAGAUCAAUUACUGCAGUGCAAACAGUACUUAAAGUCUAAUGUCGCCGGGCGCGGUGGCUCAAGCCUGUAAUCCCAGCACUUUGGGAGGCUGAGGCGGAUGGAUCACGAGGUCAAGAGAUCGAGACCAACCUGGUCAACAUGGUGAAACCCCGUCUCUACUAAAAAUACAAAAAAUUAGCUGGGCAUGGUGGCGUGUGCCUGUAAUCCCAGGAGGCUGAGGCAGGAGAAUUGCCUGAACCCAGGAGGCAGAGGUUGCGGUGAGCCGAGAUUGCGCCAUUGCACUCCAGCCUGGGUAACCAGAGCGAAACUCCGUCUCAAAAAAAAAAAAAAAAAAGUCUAAUGUCUUUCACGUUAGGCUUUUACCUUCCAAAAGGAUGGCAGCACUGCUUGGUUGCUUACUAUGUCCCAGACUCUGCUAAAUGCUUACUAUAUAUUAAUUCAUUUAAUCCUUACAACAAUCUUGUGUAUUAUGUCUACUACUAAUGUCCAGCUUUUACAGAUGAGAAUCCUGAGGCCCAGGAAGAUUUCAGAGCUUUGUCAGGGUGACAAAGUUUGAAUUUAGACAUUAAGCAGUCUGUCUCCAUAGUUUGUGCUCAUAACAAGUCUCUUGUUUAAAAGGAGAAAAUAAGUACUAAAGAAAAUGUUUUUUUAUCUUUUGUUCUUUGAUGUAUCUUAAUCCUAUGUUUUUAAAUGCAAGCUUUUUUGCAUCUUAUUUCACCAUUUUUCCUAGGUAUGCAAAUUUUAGAUUUAAGGUAAGCCAAAAUGAUGUACUUAAGAGUACAGGAGCACUAAAGCAGAUUUUUGAAUGCCAAACUCUCCUUACUUUUUACAUAUAACUGAGCAACGAGUGAGUAGAGGGCCUCCUCUGGGCUGGGAGCUGUGAUUGGUGCCUUCCUGUUUAUAUGCUCAUUUAGACUUCAUAACAGCCUUUUGAUAUGGAUUUUCAUGUAGAUGAGAAAAUAAAAAUUAGCUAUUGUGUAAAUUCUUAAAAUUAAUUGGCUAAGGUGGAAUUCCAAGUCUGCCUGGUUUUAGAGUUUAUACGACUUGCAUUACACCAAGCUCUUAUUCUAAGAAGUGUUGAAUGCCCAAUUAAAGUCUUGCCACCAGCUCAGGCAGCAGUUUUAGUGGUUCAGGGUAAUCAUACUGAAAGACCAAUGAGAAAGGCAUAUCUCUAGAACAGAGAUGGAUUCUCAGUUCAUUAACUUUUCAUUAAAAAUACUUGACCACACUCAGGAGUGAGUGUUUUCAAAAAUUUGUAUUCGUUGGAACAGGUUGAGUCUAUCCCAAGAAGGGAUCAGAACUAGAUGACCUAUCGAUUUAUGUGGUUUCUUUAUUUUUAUAGACUUCUUAAUUUUAAAGACAAAACAUCAGUGUGAAUGUAGACUUUCUUUUGAUUAAGGCAUCUGUUAGAAAUUUGUUAAUACAUUCUGCCUGGGUAAGCUGACUGGCUUGGGAAGAAUGCUGUUUGAACCCCAUCUCUUGGAAGUGUUUUCACAAUCUAAGAGGUUAAUUAAUUAUAUCACAAUGCAGUAGAGAGAAAAAUCUCUUUUAUCUCUAAAAUCUCAAAUUUCAUGUAAUUCACCUGUUGAUGAGGUUAGGUAUUAGUGUCCUGUCUUCAGAGCCUGUAUCACAUAUUUAACUCUGAAUUAGGAGCCAUUUACCAAGGAAUAUGAGAUACCGGCUUCUUGUGGCAUCUCUCUGUUGAGUAAAUAACUUCUUAUCCCACUUAAUAUUAGGAUGACUGCUGUAUAAAUGCAUUAACUCUAAUUCAGCAAAUUAAUUGGGUAUUUUAAAAAAUGUUGGCCAUGAUAUCUUUAAAAGACAGUGGCUGUUAUGAAAAAACAUAUUUAAAAGUUAAUGGUUUGGGAGGCUGAGACAGGUGGAUCACCUGAGGUCAGGAGUUGAAGACCAGCCUCGCCAACAUGGUGAAACUUCAUUUUUACUCUUUGGUAAAAACAUCAAAAAUGAGCUGGGUGUAGUGGUGGGCACCUGUAAUCCCAGCUACUUAAAAAGCUGAGACAGGAGAAUCGCUUGAACCUGGGAGGCGGAGGUUGCAAUGAGCCAAAAUUGCACCGUUGCACACCAGCCCGAGCAAUAAGAGUGAAACUGUCUUAAGAAAGAAAAGAAAAAAGUUAAUGGGAGCCAGGCAAGCUAUGAUUGGGCCGCUGCAUUCCAGGUAGUGUGACAGAACGAGACCCCAUCUCUAAAUAAAAAAUUUUUAAAAGUUAAUGGGAGGGAGAAAAGUAAAACCAUACACAUUUUGAAGUAAACAGAGGAAAUACUGUGGAUUUUGAAAUGAGAUUAUAUUUCAGAAAGAUUCAGCAGAUUAACAUUUAGCCUUGGUUUCCUGCUUGAGUGUACAAUGUUACUGAGUUUUGUUUGACCUGAAAAUCCUCUGGAUUUGGUUUAAAAACUUAAUGUACUACACUAAUUGAAAAAUUUUACAAGUUGAAUUCCUUCUGUCAGCUUAGUCCUUGUUUUACAGUUGAUAUUGUGACACUUAGUAUACUACCUUGUAUUAUGCUGUGCCCACUACUUCCCCUUUUUACUUCAGACUCAAAAUAUUUCAGCAUUGCUUUCAUUGUACUAUUGUAGGUGUAUGAAAUUUAGGAGGUUGAUUUCUGUGUUGAGCAGGAUAUUAUCUGAAGUUACUUCAUAUUUUGAAAGUAGCUAUCAGCCCUUUCCUCCCUCCCAUUCUCUACCUUGCUUACCUCCAUGUUUUCCCCUACUUUGCUGUUACUACUGCUUUCUGGUAUGUGCUGCUUCCUUUUUCUUUUGUUCUUUUGUUCAUUUUUUCUAUUCUUGCUACAUUUGGUUUUUUUUCCCUUUUUUUUGGAGACAGUCUCAUUUUGUCACCUAGGUUGGAGUGCAGUGGUGCGAUUUUGGCUCACUGCAACCUCCACCUCCUGGGUUCAAGCACUUCUCUGUCUCGACCUUCCAGUAGCUGGUAUUAUAGGUGCCCGCCACCAUACUUGGCUAAUUUUUGUAUUUCUAGUAGAGAUGGAGUUUCUCCAUGUUGGUCAGGCUGGUCUUGAACUCCUGACCUUGUGAUCCGCCCUCCUCCAGCCUCCCAUAGUGUUGGGAUUACAGGCAUGAGCCCCCAUGCCUGGUGUAUCUUCUAACUUCCAAAUCUGGAAAACUUGCAUUUAUUAUUUUUUGGUCAGUUUUAGAAGUCAGCAUACUUAAUUGCCUCUUUUAUGUUACCUUUAACUUAAUUCUGUGAACUCUGUAUCUUCCCUUAGAAUUGAAAAAGAACAUGUGUACAAACAUCCAGUUAGAUAGUAGAAAUAAAUUCUAGUAUUCGAUAGCACAGUAGGGAAAUUAUAGCUAACAUUUAUUUCUUAAUUUUACCAAAGUAGCUAGAAAAAUUUUAAUGCUCCCAACACAAAAGAUCAGUGUUUGAGGCUGGGUGCAGUGGCUUACGCCUGUAAUCCCAGCACUUUGGGAGGCUGAGGCGGGUGGAUCACCUGAGGUCAGGAGUUCGAGACUGGCCUGGCCAACAUGGUGAAACCCAUCGCUACUAAAUAUACAAAAGUUAGCCAGGCAUGGUGACACACGCCUGUAAUCCCAGCUAUUCGGGAGGCAGAGGUUGCAGUGAGCUGACAUUGCGCCACUGUACCCCAGCCUGGGUGACAGAGUGAGACUCUGUCUCAAACAAAAAAAAGAUCAAUAUUUAAGGUGAUGGAUAUUCCAGUUACUCUGAUUUGAUCAUUAUAUAUUGUAUUCAUGUAUCAAAAUCACAUGUACCCCCCCACAAUAUGUAUAACUAUUUAUGUCAAUUAAAAAUUUCUUUUAAAGAAACAUGACAUCUGAUUUAUGGAUUUCCUCUAAAAAAUAACUGAGUUAUCUCUUUAGUUUCUUGUUAUGCCUUUACGAAAAGAGGGAACUCUGAGUAGGUUACCUAUUCCAGAUUGGACCACUCAUAAGUUUUCCCAUAUUGGACAGAAAUCUUCCUCUUGCUAAAUUUAAUUGGUCUUUUCUCUUGAAGCCAUUCAUGUCCUCUUCUUUGCAUUAUGCUGACAGUUUGUAACAUACUCGCCGUAACUUUGAUUCCUGCUUGUGGAAUCACAUCCUUUUUAGUAGUCCUAUCACCCCAUUGAGGCUGGGAAAAUGUUCUUUUAUAGUUAGCCUUUUUGAGCUAUACUGUUAGUUCUUUUAAAUUUAAUCUUUAAUCCAGUCUGUCUUGGUUUUUGGUUUCUAAAUCUUAAUUAGCUUCAGUCAUUGGUUGAUUUAAUACAAGUACUCCAUUUAUGCCUGUCUUAACUCUCACCGUCAGCAUCUCACCGGAAACGGGAGUACAAGUUAGAUUGCCUAGUUGGAGUUGCACCUUCACAAACUUGGCAGUGAUUUCAUUACACUGUUGGGCCCCCAUUGUCUUCUAUAAAAUGGGGAUAAUUGUAAUUUGUACCUCAUAGAUAGGGUUAGGAAAAGAUCAAAUUACAUUAUCUGUAGAAGACAGUCAGUCAAAAAUGUCACCUGUGUUUACUUUUGAAAUAAUGUUAUUAUGAUUAUUAAAAUUAUAGCAUCCUUGUUUCAGGUAUCAAUUGCCAUACAACAAACCAUUCAACAUUUAAUGACUUAAAGCAAUGAUUUAUUCUUGUGGCUCUGUGGCCUGGUUGGACCCUGAAUAUGGAGUGUUUUUCACAUGGUGUUGGCUGGGGUCACUCUCUCAGUAUUUAGUUGGAAGUUCAUCUGGGGCUGAAAUACACAAGAUGGCUUCACUUAUAUGUCUAAUGGGUUGGGGCUGGCUUGGCCUUUCUCUUCAGCAGGGUAGUUUUGACUUCUUGCACACUGGCUCAAGAGAACAAAAGGAGAAGCCUCUAGAGCUUUUAAAGGGUUAGGCCCAGAACUGGAAUAGCCAUCUCUUCUGCAUUCUGCUGGUCAAAGCAAGUCAGUAAAACCAGCCUGGACUCCAGGAGAAAGGAACUAAAUCCACCUCUUAACAGGAGGAGGAAUGACACACAUUACAUUAACAAGGAUGGCAGGGACUUGGUGGAGGCUAUCUUUGAAGAAAGUCUACCACAUUUCUGUUCUUUCACAGCUUUUUUGAGAACUAUAGUGUUAGCCCCUUUAAAUUUAAUCUUUAAUCCAGUCUUUCUGGUUUUGGGUUUUUAAAUCUUAAUUAGCUUAUGUCAUCGGAUGAUUUAAUAGAAGCAUGCCAUUUAUUCCUUUCUCACCUCUUAUAGUCAGCAUCCCACCAGAAACACUUGCCACUUAUUUGGUCCUUUUGCUCUAUCAUUAGGCCAAUAAGCAGCCUGACUGCUGUUUACCCAGCCUUCCUAUUACUUGUGAGUUCUAAUAAAUAGCUUUAAAGUUGUUGUUUUAUGGUUAAUUCACUGUUUAUCUUUGGGGAAAGAAGUGCUUAACUGCCAUUUGAAUUCCCAGGGAAUUACUUAGUUCAGCAUAUUACCCCAUUGUAAAAUGAAACAUGUAGGGAUUCCAAAGUUACUACCUACAAAAGAUAGAUUACUAAUUUUAGUAGCAUUUAUCAACACCUUUCUUAAGUUUUUAGUAUAGCUUUAAAAUUUUACAUCUUGUGAUUGGUUCAUUCUUAAGUAACUGCAUGUGUUUAUGGCCUUCAUUUCUACAUAUGUAGAGUGGUUUAAAGUUUUUCAAAAUGAAGGAUGUGAUUAUCAGGCAGUGUUACUCUUCUUUUUUUGAGACAGUCUCACUGGCACCCAUCCUAGAGUACAGUGGUACAAUUUAGCUAUGACUCACAGCAGCCUCAAACUCCUGGACUUAAAUGAUCCUCCCAUCUCAGCCUCCCAAGUAGCUGAGACUGUAGGUGCAUGCCACCACACUGCUAACUUUUAAAUUUUUUUUGAGAGGUGGGAUCUCAUGUUUACUGGGCUGAUCUCAAACUCCUGGUCUCAAGAAGUGAUCUUCCUGCCUCUGCCUCUCAAAGUAUUCGGAUUAUAGGAGCCACCAUGCCCUGCAAUACUUGUUUUAAAGUGUACUGUCAUGGAAGGAAUGACAGUCUUGUCUCUACAGCUAGAUUAUGAAGUACCAUCAUAUUGUGCUUACUUCUAAGUGCUUACCUGUAUUUUUUCUCAACAAUCUUAGAGGUCUCUGCCUUACAGGUAAGAUAACUGAAUCAUUGAGAUUAAGUUGCUUACACAGUGUAUAAUGCUGUAAUUCAAACCCAGACUCAUCCCAAAGCCACUGUGCUUGUAUCAUCUCCCAUAAUUGAAUGAAUAAUACAUUUUGUAUAACAAUGUGAAACUUAAAAAAAAAAAACCCUGGUUAUUUGUUUCUUAAGACCAUUAAGUGGAAAAACCCAGUUAACUAUUUUAAAUGCAACUAUCUUCCACUGUUUGAGGCAGAUCUCCACAGAGCAACCAUAGAGGGUAAAAAGCAUUGUGUUCAAGGGACAACAAAACACUUUUGCAGCUAAGAAAACUGUGAAUGUGAAAGUAUGGAUGUGGUGUAUAAUACAGAGUUUGCUAUCUUAACCAAAAUGCUCUUCUGAUUUCAGGCCAGUAGUUUUAUUUAUUUAUUUAUUUUGAGACAAGAGUUUUGCUGUGUCAUCCAGGCUGGAGUGCAGUGGUGCAGCCUUGGCUUACUGCAACCUCUGCCUUUUGGGCUCAAGUGAUUCUCCUGCCCCAGCCUCCCAAGUAGCUGAGAUUACAGGCAUGCGCCACCAUGCCUGGCUAAUUCUUGUAUUUUUAGUAGCGACAGGGUUUUACCAUGUUGACGAGACUGGUCUCAAACUCCUCACCUCAAGUGAUCCUGCUGCCUAAGCCUCCCAAAGUGCUGGGAUUAUAGGCAUGAGCCACUGCGCCCGGCCUUAGGCCAGUAUUAUUGAAUACCACUUAAUAGUGACAGGAAACAUAACUUCAGGUUGACGUUUCUCACCUUUAACCUCUUACAGCACAGUGCAAUUUGGCCCUACUGCCACUUCAUCUGGAUUGUCUGUAGCUUGAGUUGUAAAAAAAAAAAAAAAAAGAUUAGGGGGAAGAAGUUGGGUUAAAACUCUUCACUUACCCACCAUUGGAACAUAAUGGGUAAAGUUACUAUUUAAAAGUAUUUUUCAAAUUUCAUUUUGCAUAUAAGCAGGUGCUAUAUAAACUGAUAGCUUUUUUCUUGUAAGAAUGGAUUUAUUUGGAAUUUAGCCCAGCUGAAAAUUGACUUCACCUUGAGUCCCAGAUUGUACUUGGACUUUAAAGAAAGUGGAAUAGUGACAAUGGGUCGUUGGCAGUUUUUUGGUUUAACAUUUACCUAAUUCUGUUGGGAUUAUUUUUCUCUCCCUUGACUGAAAAAAAAUUACACAUUUAUUGAGAAUUCUUCCCAUCCCCAACACAGUGAUCUAAUUUGUUUUUGCUUUAAAAUAAUUUAAACAGUGUAAUUUUUAAAAUCCUGAUCAAAUGAGUCAGAUUGUAGUAAUAAUUUUAGACAGAAUUUUAUGGGAUGUUUUAUCUGUUGUCUGGGAUGAUCUGUAAUCGUAUAUCUUACUAGUUGAAAAUGACUUCAAUGAGAUUAAAGGUCUGUUCUUUAAGAUCUGGAAGUCUCACUUCUACCACUGUCUUAAUUUAGUUAAGAAAAAUAAAACUUUUGAACAGUUCUUUUUUAUUAAUCUGUUGAGGUUUGCUUGAAUUGUGUUCUUGUAAAUGAAGUUUGUUUUUCUUUGUCUGGCAUAGACUCCUUCAGUGUUUGUUACAUUAUUGGUUUCUGCUUUAGUCAUUUUUCCAGAGUCCCAAAAAGUUUAUCACUUCGGUUCUCUUUCUGUUUUCAUGUCAUGACCACACGAAACUUCAGAUGGAAAGUUUUCCAGCUCAUUAGGAAAUGUUCCUAAAUAUGAAUAGUCAUGGAAGUUCAUGGAAGUCAGUAUGUAGAUAGAUAGCAUUGUCAGGGACUGAUACUCAAUUGUAUUGUCCUCAAAUAAUAAACUCAACAUUAACUUCAAACUUAAAAGUAUUGCUGCUUGAAGCAUUCUGCUUUAAACCACAAAUUCAUGUGCCCACUGCAUUCACAGUUGUAUAAUUGACAGUUUUAUAACUUGGGCUGUAGUAUGUCCUUUAAGAAAUGCAAGUUCUUUCAGUUUUAUAAAUAUUUUAUUCUUACGGUAUCUGUUUCUUUUCUU